CAGGCUGAACCACGCAGGCGCCCCCAUAUGUAUUUUUGACUCAGUGACUCAGCAUGAUUUUCAUGGGCUUGGGUGGUCUGGCUACUUCCUGGUGGACCAGCUCCCCAUUUGAUGGGGGACACUGUUGUACAGACAGGACACCGUCUCAGGAUCAGCCGAGUGGGUGAAUGGCAGACGGCAGUCAGACGCCCUGGCUCCCACGUCCCCCUGCCUGAGCCCGCACGACACAGAAAACGCAAAGCAGAAGUGCAGACAGCACGCUGACCCGAGCCAGUCCCCGAAUGAGCACGGUCAUGGGAGACCCUCAUUCUCACGAGGAAGUGAUACGAAGCUUAUUUCCUUUUUGGCACAUCCCUCACAGUGACUUAGUGUUUUCCAGAACAUUCCAUGAUUGCUCAGGCACGAAUCUCUGCUCAGAAGGAAGGGGACAGCAGGGUUUGCAAAAGGUAGAAUGAGUGAAGAGGGAACACGUAGCAAAAGCCCCAAGGUGGCCGCGGGAAGGAAGACGAAACGGCAGCUAGACCUCAGACCCUCAGAUGGGGUCGCCGCGGCCUCUGCCGCGACUCUGUCUUUCCCAAGAGGGCCUGAGAAGAAGACCGCCGUCAUUCCCUGCACAGCCCUGCAGCGAGACCCAAGUUCACAUCCAGGCUCCAGCAGUCACUCGCUGUGUCGCCUUGGGUGAGACGCUGAACUUCUGUGUGUCUCAGUGUCCCCAUCUGUCAAAGGGGAAUAAUAAAUGCGCCUGCCUCGUAGUGCUGUUGAGAGGCCGACAGGAGAUCGUGCCUGUGAAGUGCAUCACACGGGCCCGGACACACGGGGGCUGCCCCAUACAUGUAAACUAUUAUGUGUCCAUUCGGUCAAGACCUGAAUUGUCUCCUAACCUCCAGGCACCGUUCUUAGUGGCCGGUAAACCGUGGUGAGGAAGACGAGAGGCUCCUGUUUCCCGGAGUUUCUGUUCCGGGGCAGGAGAGAGAUCUUAAACACACGAGCAGCAGAUGGAUGAGGAUGACAAGGUCUCACUCCUUGUGGAGCCCGGACCUUUCGGCGACCGGCGAGCAGGGUUCUGAGGCUGUCCCAGACGCCGUGGCAGAAAACUGCUUCGUUGGGGAAUGAUUGACCCAGAAAAGGCUGUGCGUAUCCGGUGUAUACAACACGCGUACCACUCGGUGUGCUUGGAGCUGAGACAGCCUCUGACAUCCUCUGGACUCGUGCUGUCUUCUGAGUCCCAAAGAACUGAAAGCGGAACCCCGUUCAAGAGCUUCCAGCACCGGCAAGACCUCAGCCUGUUGGGCGCAAUUACAGCCGCGGUAGGAAAGUGCGUCUCAGAAAAGUCACCCUCACCGUGUGCUACCCGGUGCCCUACGCGCCCCUCUCAUUUAAUCCCCUGCGCGGCGGCUUGUGGUUACCACCCCAUUUUACAGAUAAGACCGUGGGAGCUCAGAGAUCGCAACUAAGCCGGUGAGCGGGAAAACCAGAAACCAAACCCAGGUCUUUGGGACUCCAGGACCCCAACUCGC